rnacentral:tRNA from 1 species
GCAGAUGUAGCUCAAUGGUGGAGCGCUUGCCUGGUGUGCACAAAGCCCUGGGUUUGAUCCCUAGCGCUGGUA